rnacentral:lncRNA from 1 species
AUGUCUUUUGGGGGAACACAGAUGAUAGAUAUGAAGUUGCAGAACUUCACUAUUUCCAUAGUAAAUCCAGUUCUGCUGGUAUUCUUAAUCCAGGUAAUGGGAACGGUCCAUACGUUUAUCUUGUCUACCAGGAACUCCAAGAAUGAGUCAGAGAGGGCAGAGGAGGGAAAAGAACACAGAUGCCAAGGCUUGUGAUACAAGAAGUCUCAGAAGACUCAGUGCCUGCCUGUACAUUUGAAGCUACAUACAUACAAAAGCUUCUCUGCAGUUCUUACAUUUGACUAAUAAAAUUCUGUCUGGAUGACAGCCCCAAAGGUUAGCUUGAUAUAAUUUUCUGUUCUGUGUAUAUGCUGAUCAUGUUCCUGUUGAUCAAUUUUGGAAAGACAAGGGAAUAAGGGGCAUGGCAAGUGGAUAGAUGUAAAAUCUACUUGUCAACUUUAUUUUUAUUUUCUACACAACAGUGCCAUACAAUUUGACAUAUCAGAAAUCCUGUGUCAGUCAGAACAGAGGUCUAACUAACUUAUAAUGCUGUAUACAUAACUAUACAAAUCAGGGUUCCCUAGAGAAACAAACCAAUUAAGGUGUUAGCUCAUGCCAUUGUGGGGACAGACAAAUUUUAAAUCUUUAGGGUAGGUAUAACAGGCAGGCACACUAAAAACUCAAGUAGGAUUUCAUGCUGCGGUCUUGAGGCUGAAUUUCUUCCUGUGCAAGAAAUCUCAGUUUUUGCUUCAAAGACCUUCAAUAGAUUGGAUUAGGCCUUAUCUACAUUAUACAGGUUAAUUUCCUUUAUUUAAGAACAAUUGAUUGUAGAUGUUAGCCACAUCUACGAAAUACCUUCAAAGUGACAUCUAUAUGGUUUGAUUAUAUAAUGGGGUAUUGUAGCUUACCCAAGUUGUCAUAAAAUUAAUCAUCAUAGGUACCAAAAUAAGAAUAUUUCUCCCAAAUUGGGAAAUAUACUUAAGUCAUAUAUGGGGAGCGCUGGUUUUAAAAGAGGGAGUCUCUAUAAUUGCAUCCUAGUCUUAAUUCCGUAAAGUUGAGUAACUAGGAAAUAACAUGCACAGUUAUGUCCCAGACCAUGUGUUGCUUAUUGUAUUAGUCAGCCAAAGGACUGCAGAUGCAAAAUACCAGAAAUCUGUUGGUUUUUAUAAAGGGUAUUUAUUUGGAGUAGAAGCUUACAGUUACCAGGCCAUAAAGUGUAAAUUCUCAUCAAAGUCUGUUGUCAGGUGUGAAGAUGGCUGCUGAUGUCUGUGAGGGUUCAGUCUUCCUCUCUCUCUCAUAAGGCUGUGUCCCCAGCUUCUUCCAGUAUCAGCUGUAGGCUUGGAUAAGUCUUGUCUCUCACCCAGGGCUCAUUUCUCUCUGGGCUCAGCUGCUCUGGUCUCUCCACAAGGCCAGCUGUAAACUGUUAGGCAAACGGCUCAUCCCUCUUCCUGGGAACUCUGCCUUGUCUAAUGGAGCCUACUCUCUUUCCUCAUGUAUCUGCUUCUCUGUGUGCUUACUUCAUGGGCUCCAGGACCAAAGUCUAACUUUCUCUUCUACCAUGCCAUGUCCUACUGAUGUAGCUCAAUCAAAGCCUUAAUCAUUACUUAAUCUAGUACAAGAGAAACCACUGAUUUCAAUCCAAGCUAAUAUGCCCAGAGGAACA